rnacentral:rRNA from 1 species
UAGGGAAUCUUCGGCAAUGGACGGAAGUCUGACCGAGCAACGCCGCGUGAGUGAAGAAGGUUUUCGGAUCGUAAAGCUCUGUUGUUAGAGAAGAACGUUGGUAGGAGUGGAAAAUCUACCAAGUGACGGUAACUAACCAGAAAGGGACGGCUAACUACGUGCCAGCAGCCGCGGUAAUACGUAGGUCCCGAGCGUUGUCCGGAUUUAUUGGGCGUAAGGCGAGCGCAGGCGGUUCUUUAAGUCUGAAGUUAAAGGCAGUGGCUUAACCAUUGUACGCUUUGGAAACUGGAGGACUUGAGUGCAGAAGGGGAGAGUGGAAUUCCAUGUGUAGCGGUGAAAUGCGUAGAUAUAUGGAGGAACGCCGGUGGCGAAAGCGGCUCUCUGGUCUGUAACUGACGCUGAGGCUCGAAAGCGUGGGGAGCAAACAGG